UCGUGCGGACCUUUUAAAGCUUGCUUUUAAAAGGUUAGCGGCGGACGGGUGAGUAACACGUGGGCAACCUGCCUGUAAGACUGGGAUAACGCCGGGAAACCGGGGCUAAUACCAGAUAGUUUUUUCCUUCGCAUGGAGGAAAAAGGAAAGGCGGCUUCGGCUGCCACUUACAGAUGGGCCCGCGGCGCAUUAGCUAGUUGGCGGGGUAACGGCCCACCAAGGCAACGAUGCGUAGCCGACCUGAGAGGGUGAUCGGCCACAUUGGGACUGAGACACGGCCCAAACUCCUACGGGAGGCAGCAGUAGGGAAUCUUCCGCAAUGGACGAAAGUCUGACGGAGCAACGCCGCGUGAGUGAAGAAGGCCUUCGGGUCGUAAAACUCUGUUGCCGGGGAAGAACAAGUGCCGUUCGAACAGGGCGGCACCUUGACGGUACCCGGCCAGAAAGCCACGGCUAACUACG
rnacentral:rRNA from 1 species